CCCUGCGUUCGGGUCUUGGUACUGCUGCUGCUGCUGCUGCUGCUGCUGC
rnacentral:scRNA from 1 species